GCGUCAUUACAACUCUCACAAUUAUUUAUGUUCUUUUCAUAUUCAUGCAAAAUUAGUUUGAAACAUCUAUUUUGAGAAUUCUCGAAAAAAGGUAGCAAUCCUGGGUAGAGAAAAGCGAUAGGAAGGAACCCAUUCCAGCUCGACUGAAAGGAGAUAUCCACUUUCCUCGUGAAUUGCCUUCUUUGAGGCAUGAUCAGGGGUAGCAUAAAUUUAACAAUAACAUUUAGUAACAAUAAAAGCUUACCAAUGUACAACAAAUUCAAGACAAUUUACACAAUGAAUAAGGGCAUUCGGGAAUCAUUUGUCACCACAGUUUAGACAUAUUUUCGAUGCCUGCACAACAUUGAAAAAUAAUCAUUAAAACUACAAUCAUAUAUAUGCAAAAUAUCGAUAUACUCUAUAUAACAGAAUUUAUAGCAAGAAAUUAAAACAUAUGUCAUAGUCUCCAUUCUCCAAUUUUAGAAUAUGUAAUGAGUCUAAUCAAUUCUGAGUUGUGCCAUCAAUGUAGACUGGUUGUGUUGGUGGAGAUAGCUAGAAUAUCACAAUAUGAAUCAAAAAAAUUAUACUAUAUAUUGUAGCUAGAGUUGUGUAAUUAUAAUUAAAAAUUAUUGACUAUUAAGUUUACAAUUAUGUUUUACUUCUUAAUUUGUCUAAUUCAGUUUGUUUACAUCCCUACUCUAUUCAAAUAGGGUGAAACGUCGAGAUGACUCAAAAAAUAAACAAUUGAUUGAAUUUUGAAAGAAUUUUAAGAAUAAACGAAUUUUAAAGGAGUCGCCACCUAAUUUUUAAAAAAAAUAGGAAACCAAUUAAAAAAUGUCUACGAAACCAUAAGAUUCUAGGUAAGGGUUCAAGUUAUUUCGAAGAGAAGGUGUUAGACAUCCUUCGAAAUCCACAAUUGUGGGUCCCGACUGAAUUCAUUUUUUUUAAAUUGAGGAGCAUGUAAAAAUAUUAUACAAAUAUAACAAACAUGCAAUAUACACAAGUAAUAAAGUAAACAAGUAAUAUGAGAAACGACUUAAUAUUGCCUAUCGUCAAUAAUAUACAAUAUAAAUAGGAGUAUAAUUCGAACCUAAUUCGAAUAACUUCAAUAGGAAGCACCUCCGGGUACCUGUAAAGACACUUAGUAAAAGUAUUAGUUAUAAAUAAAUAUGAAUAAAAACAAAUGAAUCAAAUAUUAAUUUAAAAAUAAAAAUCCGUCUUAUUAACAUGGGAGACCUUAGAAAUCGACGGUAAUUUCUUCAUCGGCCAAUUCUAAGAUAUAACAUAUAUAAACUUAAACUAAAUUUCCAUCUCUUAAAAUGAGGAGGCCUCCAAAAUCGACGGAGAGAUUUUCUCAUUGGCCAAUUUUAACAUAAAACUUAUAUAAACUUAAACUAAAUUUUCGUCUCUUAAAAUGGGGAGGCCUUCAAAAUCGACGGAGAAAUUUUUUCAUUGGCCAAAUUUAACUUGUAAUUUAAGUAGACCUAAGAAAGUAAAAUAUAAUGUCAAUUUGAAAUAUCUCAAAACAAUAAUAAAGUAACAACAACCGAGGUAAAUUUA
rnacentral:lncRNA from 1 species